CGUGUAGGCGGACUCGCAAGUCGGUUGUGAAAUCCCUGGGCUUAACCUAGGAACUGCAUCCGAAACUGCUUGUCUUGAGUAAUGGAGAGGGUGGCGGAAUUCCCGGUGUAGAGGUGAAAUUCGUAGAUAUCGGGAGGAACAUCAGUGGCGAAGGCGGCCACCUGGACAUUUACUGACGCUGAGACGCGAAAGCGUGGGUAGCAAACAGGAUUAGAUACCCUGGUAGUCC
rnacentral:rRNA from 1 species